ensembl:misc_RNA Metazoa_SRP Metazoan signal recognition particle RNA
GCUUUACAGAGGUGCGUCUGUAAUCACAACUGCUACUGUGCAGGCUGAGACAGGAGAUCACUUGAGCCCAGGAGCUCCGGGCUAUAGUACACUUUGUUUAUUGUGUGCCCACACUAAGUUUACUAUUAAUAUGGUGACCUUCCAAGAGCAGGGGACCGCCAGGUUGCCUAACGAGGGGUGAACUGGCGCAGGUCAGAAGCAGAGCCUGUCAAAACUCAUGUGCUGCUCAGUAGCAGGAUCGUGCCUGUGAAUGGCCACUGCCCUCCAGCCUGAGCAACCUAGUGGGAACCCAUCUCUC